CAAGUCGAACGGUGACGAUCAAGCUUGCUUGGUCUGAUCAGUGGCGAACGGGUGAGUAACACGUGAGUAACCUGCCCCUGACUCUGGGAUAACCCCGGGAAACCGGAGCUAAUACCGGAUAUGACGCGCCCUCGCAUGGGGAGCGUGUGGAAAGUUUUUCGGUCUGGGAUGGACUCGCGGCCUAUCAGCUUGUUGGUGAGGUAAUGGCUCACCAAGGCGACGACGGGUAGCCGGCCUGAGAGGGCGACCGGCCACACUGGGACUGAGACACGGCCCAGACUCCUACGGGAGGCAGCAGUGGGGAAUAUUGCACAAUGGGCGAAAGCCUGAUGCAGCGACGCCGCGUGAGGGAUGACGGCCUUCGGGUUGUAAACCUCUUUCAGCAGGGAAGAAGCGCAAGUGACGGUACCUGCAGAAGAAGCACCGGCUAACUACGUGCCAGCAGCCGCGGUAAUACGUAGGGUGCGAGCGUUGUCCGGAAUUAUUGGGCGUAAAGAGCUU
rnacentral:rRNA from 1 species